AUGCUCCCCACGCCUCGCCUGUCCCGACGGCCCUCUCAUACUGCCUCUCCCGGGCAACACAACGAUGACGGCGGUGGCGACGGCGACGGCGUACAGCGGGAGCAGGCGGAGCAGCGCGACCCCUCUCCCUUGACCUCCCUCAGCAGCGUCGUGCCUUUUCAGCCACGACCUCUAACCGCUGGCGGCUGGCGGCGGAAGCGAGCGGCUGGCCAGAUGCCUCCUCCAGCCUUGCCGCGAUUAGUAUUACACAGAUGGGUGAUGCCCACAUACUUCACCCGGUGUAUCUGUUCAUGUAUGUUGUUAUUAGCUAAUUAG
rnacentral:rRNA from 1 species